GCUAAUAAGGUCCUGCUUUAUGCUGAUGUGAUGAUAGUCCCUAAGGACAGUAGGCCACAGUGUCACCCACUAGUGUUCAACCAGUAACAUACGCAAAUAAUAUAUCAGCAAGAGUACAUGAUGGGUUAUUGAUAACAUUUGAAAUUUCUCUUUGGUUCCAGUUUACAUUUGCUCCAACAUGAACUUCUUCAUAAUAAUGUAUUCUUGAUUAUUUUUAAACUCAUUGUGUAGUAGCUAUGUGUGAGUCUGUGUUCAUUACUACUAAACUGUUUUUAUUCUUUGAUAUCAGUCUAUUAUUGUAACAA